rnacentral:rRNA from 1 species
GACGAACGCUGGCGGCGUGCUUAACACAUGCAAGUCGAACGGAAAGGCCCUGCUUUUGUGGGGUGCUCGAGUGGCGAACGGGUGAGUAACACGUGAGUAACCUGCCCUUGACUUUGGGAUAACUUCAGGAAACUGGGGCUAAUACCGGAUAGGAGCUCCUGCUGCAUGGUGGGGGUUGGAAAGUUUCUGCGGUUGGGGAUGGACUCGCGGCUUAUCAGCUUGUUGGUGGGGUAGUGGCUUACCAAGGCUUUGACGGGUAGCCGGCCUGAGAGGGUGACCGGGCACAAUGGGACUGAGAGACGGCCCAGACUCCUACGGGAGGCAGCAGUGGGGAAUAUUGCACAAUGGGCGGAAGCCUGAUGCAGCAACGCCGGGUGCGGGAUGACGGCCUUCGGGUUGUAAACCGCUUUCGCCUGUGACGAAGCGUGAGUGACGGUAAUGGGUAAAGAAGCACCGGCUAACUACGUG